rnacentral:rRNA from 1 species
GACGAACGCUGGCGGCGUGCCUAAUACAUGCAAGUAGAACGCUGAAGGAGGAGCUUGCUUCUCUGGAUGAGUUGCGAACGGGUGAGUAACGCGUAGGUAACCUGCCUGGUAGCGGGGGAUAACUAUUGGAAACGAUAGCUAAUACCGCAUAAGAGUAGGUGUUGCAUGACAUUUACUUAAAAGGUGCAAUUGCAUCACUACCAGAUGGACCUGCGUUGUAUUAGCUAGUUGGUGAGGUAACGGCUCACCAAGGCAACGAUACAUAGCCGACCUGAGAGGGUGAUCGGCCACACUGGGACUGAGACACGGCCCAGACUCCUACGGGAGGCAGCAGUAGGGAAUCUUCGGCAAUGGACGGAAGUCUGACCGAGCAACGCCGCGUGAGUGAAGAAGGUUUUCGGAUCGUAAAGCUCUGUUGUAAGAGAAGAACGAGUGUGAGAGUGGAAAGUUCACACUGUGACGGUAUCUUACCAGAAAGGGACGGCUAACUACGUG